AAUUUUUUUUUUUCCCGCUUAUGGAUUUUCCUCCUCAAUCGGGUGUUUCUUCGAUCCAAAAAAUCAGGAAUACAUCUUCAGAAUCUUCAAUCAAAUCUUGCCCAAAUUUCGAUCAAUUGAAUCGCUCUACAAUUUAACUUCAAAAUCCUAUAGAACCUACUUUUUCUCCAUCUCCAUCUCAACAUUCGAGGCAAACCAGUUGCCUGUGGCUAGCCCUUCCCUCCCCUUCACAUUCACCGUAACCUCGAUUCAGGUUCUGGUCAACAGAAGUUUUUAGAAGCUUCAGUUGUAGCUUAUGUAUCUGAUAACCCCAUAACGAUAUAGAAAGAGUUACCAAUUGAAGAUGCAAUUAAAGGUUUUAUUCCUUCUACUUCAUAUAAGAUGAAGCUUUCUACCGUUAUGGGAUACACUAACAGGGGCAAAAUAUUAUACAUUCUAGAUCAUGAAGCAACUAUUUAUUUUAUGUCUAAUAUUCAAGGAAAAUAUCCAGGUUCUUCAGGAGACCGUGGCAAGGCGAAAGCGUGAUCGUACCGCUCCUCAUGUUUAUGUUGUGAUGUGAUUCUGGGAAUACUUUAAUUUAAUUGUAUUGAAAACCUUUUUGUAAUGAUUUAAUGAAAUCGGGUUGUUUUUGAAAAGUUUAAAUUGGUUGAAAUUUUUCGGUCGUUACAUUUUUCUAGACAAGCAGGUGUUAAUUGCCAAAAUGAGUUACUUCUUGAUUGCAAAACAAGGUGGAAUUCCAUUUAUAUGAUGUUAAGUGUUGCUUUGGAGUAUAGAGAAGUUUUUAAUCGUUUGAGCAAAAAGGAGAAACAUUAUGUUUGCUUGCCUAGUGAAGAUGAAUGGAAUAUGGCAUCAGAGGUUUGUGAAAAGUUGAAAUUGUUCUAUCAUGUGACAGAAAAAUUUUCUAGUACAAAAUAUCCCACAUUAAACAUUUUCUUCCCUCUAAUUUGUGAGAUGAAACUAUCUUUGUUGAGUUGGAAAGUAUCUGAUAAUGAAGUUAUUAAGUCAAUGGCAUCAACUAUGUUAACCAAAUUUGAGAAGUAUCGGAAUGUAAUACAUAAUGUUAUGAGUGUAGCAAUUGUCUUGGAUCCCAGGUAUAAGUUAAAUUUGAUCAAUUAUUUCUUUCUCAAGUUAUAUGGGGAAGGAACAAGAAGUGAGAUUAUGCAAAUACGUGACAUAAUUACUGAGUUGUUUGAAGAGUAUAAAAAGAAACAUGAUGCCAAAUGAGGAGCUUCUUGGAAACGACAAAGUGCAACUAACGUCUCGGAGGGAGGGGGUUCUACUUCUAGCAAAUCAACAUGGGAGUUAGAUUUCGAGACUAUGCUUUCUGAGGAUGAUGGAUUUAAAAAAACUGAGUUGGAUGAUUAUUUAGCUGAGAAGUUGUUACCAAAUGAGGAGGGUUUUGACAUAUUGAUGUGGUGGAAGUGUAAUGGCUCCAAGUUUCCUAUAUUACAGAAGAUUGCUAGAGAUGUGUUAGCCAUUCCAAUUUCUACCGUUGCUUCAAAAUCAACAUUUAGCAUGAGCGGGAAUAAGGUGACAAAACAACGUAAUCGUCUCAAAUCGAAAACAGUCGGGACGUUAAUGUGUAGCUAAAGUUGGUUACAGAAGGAAAUUCAAGGUAAAAAUCAAGACGAAUCAAAGACGGUUGCAUAUGAUGAUGAUGUUGAAUAAUUUUUCAAAUUAAACACAAGAAACAAAGAGAACCAAAGACUUGAAGUUUCUUUUGUAUAAGUUUGUUUUCUUUUUGAUGCUUAUUAAACCUUAUCAUUGCCAUUUUAAUGCUUGUUAAACUUUAUGAAUGAUGUAAACACAAUCUAAUUAUGACCUUUGGUUUUGAUAUUUUAUUAAUCUUGAAAUUGUUUUUUGCGUUAAUUGAUUCUAGUAUGUUAGUAGAUUGAGGAUGGGUUGGGGAUGGGUCGGGGAUGGACCGGGGAUAAGCCCAAAAUCUAAAGGGUAUGAGAUUCAA